AGUGAACGCUGGCGGUAGGCCUAACACAUGCAAGUCGAACGGCAGCACAGUAAGAGCUUGCUCUUACGGGUGGCGAGUGGCGGACGGGUGAGGAAUACAUCGGAAUCUACUUUUUCGUGGGGGAUAACGUAGGGAAACUUACGCUAAUACCGCAUACGACCUACGGGUGAAAGCAGGGGAUCUUUGGACCUUGCGCGAUUGAAUGAGCCGAUGUCGGAUUAGCUAGUUGGCGGGGUAAAGGCCCUCCAAGGCGACGAUCCGUAGCUGGUCUGAGAGGAUGGUCAGCCACACUGGAAGUGAGACACGGUCCAGACUCCUACGGGAGGCAGCAGUGGGGAAUAUUAGACAAAGGGCGCGAGCCUGAUCCAGCCAUACCGCGUGGGUGAAGAAGGCCUUCGGGUUGGAAAGCCCUUUUGUUGGGAAAGAAAAGCAGCAGGUUAAUACCCCGCUGUUCUGACGGUACCCAAAGAAUAAGCACCGGCUAACUUCGUG
rnacentral:rRNA from 1 species